GCUGUAGCUCACUGGUAGAGUGCUUGCCUAGCAUGUGUGAGGUACUAGGUUCAAUCCUCAGCACUGCA
rnacentral:tRNA from 1 species